GUCAAGUCCUCAUAUAUUCAAUUUUAAAUAGGCCAGAGUAAAAUAUUCGUAAAAAUCUGAAAGUUAUUUAGCUUCUCUUACCAGAACCCUUCAGUUACAAAAGUCUUUAAGCGGAGUUUUACUAUCCUUUUUACCAGUCAGCCAUUACAGUUUUAUCGAAUUAUUAAUAAAGACCACUCAGUUAUUCAAUCAGGGUUACGGAUUGUACCAUUUGGAGAACACAAAUGUCAGAUGUUUGUAUUCGUCUUUUAUAGUGACAUUAAAAUCAAUUUUCAUAUCAUUAGUCUUGUAAAUUAUGCAUGUCGGAUGUCGUGUAAUUCAUUAUUCCCCGGAGCCCAUCUUGACUAUUUUUAUUUUAUUACAUUUAAACUUUGCUCAUGUGAUAAAGCGUGCUCUCUAUAUAUACCCAACCUGUCAUGUUACAGCCAAAAUUGCUGGCUACGGAGCAAUAAAUAAAUAAUCAAAAGAAAAUCCAA